UACGUAGGGUGCGAGCGUUGUCCGGAAUUAUUGGGCGGAAAGAGCUUGUAGGCGGUCUGUCGCGUCUGCUGUGAAAAUCCGGGGCUCAACCCCGGACUUGCAGUGGGUACGGGCAGACUAGAGUGUGGUAGGGGAGACUGGAAUUCCUGGUGUAGCGGUGAAAUGCGCAGAUAUCAGGAGGAACACCGAUGGCGAAGGCAGGUCUCUGGGCCACUACUGACGCUGAGAAGCGAAAGCAUGGGGAGCGAACAGG
rnacentral:rRNA from 1 species